CACUGCCUGGGAUUGUUGUUGGUGAGGAACAGUGUUGAUAAUGGCCCAUUAUUAAUGGGUCGCAACUUGCAAGACAUAUGGGUCUUCACUAUUAAGACUCUGCAACAUUAAAUACAUUUCUCGUGGGGUUCAUCCUAAUAUGCAUAUUGGUGUAUGUAUCUGUGCCUGCAUGAUUUAAUGACCAGCAAAAAACAGUAAUGGUCAAAGUAAAUAACAUGAUGGGAGAAGGUGAAAAAAGAGUUUAAACCUCGGAAGAGUUAAUACUGGUAAAACUCUGGGUCUUUCUUCAACGUUCUCA